AGAGUUUGAUCAUGGCUCAGGACUAACGCUGGCGGCGUGCCUAAUACAUGCAAGUCGAACGGUCAUGCAUUUGUAGCAAUAUGAGUGCAUGGUAGUGGCGAACGGGUGAGUAACACGUGGAUAACCUACCUUUAUGUGGGGGAUAACUCCGGGAAACUGGGGCUAAUACCGCAUGACAUCAUUCUGGGGCAUCUCAGGAUGAUCAAAGUCGUAAGACGCAAAAAGAUGGAUCCGCGUCCCAUCAGCUAGUUGGCGGGGUAAUGGCCCACCAAGGCUUUGACGGGUAGCCGGACUGAGAGGUCGAUCGGCCACAAGGGGACUGAGACACGGCCCCUACUCCUACGGGAGGCAGCAGUAGGGAAUUUUGGUCAAUGGGGGAAACCCUGAACCAGCGACGCCGCGUGGGUGAUGAAAUCCUUCGGGAUGUAAAACCCUUUUCAUCGGGACGAAAUAAAAAUGACGGUACCGGUGGAAUAAGCCUCGGCUAACUCCGUGCCAGCAGCCGCGGUAAUACGGUGGAGGCAAGCGUUGUCCGGAAUCACUGGGUGUAAAGGGCGU
rnacentral:rRNA from 1 species